AUGAAGGGACAGGAAUUAGGAAUGUCUCUUUGUCUGGAACAGAGGGAGGUAUAUCAAUUUCGGUAGGCCGAGAUAUCGUUUCAGUCGUCAUUCUUCCAUUGACGAUUCGAUUGUUGCUCGUCCACAU
rnacentral:snoRNA from 9 species